rnacentral:rRNA from 1 species
UACGUAGGGGGCUAGCGUUGUCCGGAAUCAUUGGGCGUAAAGCGCGUGUAGGCGGUUCGGUAAGUCCGCUGUGAAAGUCGGGGGCUCAACCCUCGGAUGCCGGUGGAUACUGUCGGGCUUGAGUACGGAAGAGGCGAGUGGAAUUCCUGGUGUAGCGGUGAAAUGCGUAGAGAUCCGGAAGAACACCGGUGGCGAAGGCGGCCCGCUGGGCAACUGCUGACACUGAUGCGCGACAGCGUGGGGAGCAAACAGG